rnacentral:rRNA from 1 species
CACGCAGGCGGUGACUUAAGUGAGGUGUGAAAGCCCCGGGCUUAACCUGGGAAUUGCAUUUCAUACUGGGUCGCUAGAGUACUUUAGGGAGGGGUAGAAUUCCACGUGUAGCGGUGAAAUGCGUAGAGAUGUGGAGGAAUACCGAAGGCGAAGGCAGCCCCCUUGGGAAUGUACUGACGCUCAUGUGCGAAAGCGUGAGGAGCAAACA